rnacentral:rRNA from 1 species
AUUGAACGCUGGCGGCAUGCCUUACACAUGCAAGUCGAACGGCAGCACGGGAGCAAUCCUGGUGGCGAGUGGCGGACGGGUGAGUAAAGCAUCGGAACGUGCCCAGUCGUGGGGGAUAACGUAGCGAAAGCUACGCUAAUACCGCAUACGAUCUGUGGAUGAAAGCGGGGGACCGUAAGGCCUCGCUCGAUUGGAGCGGCCGAUGUCAGAUUAGGUAGUUGGUGAGGUAAAGGCUCACCAAGCCGACGAUCUGUAGCUGGUCUGAGAGGACGACCAGCCACAAUGGGACUGGGACACGGCCCAGACUCCUACGGGAGGCAGCAGGGGGGAAUUUUGGACAAUGGGCGCAAGCCUGAUCCAGCAAUGCCGCGUGCAGGAUGAAGGCCUUCGGGUUGUAAAGCUCUGUCGGCAGGAACGAAGGGUGGGCGUAUUAAUAAUGCGUUCAUUUGACGGUACCUGCAAAGGAAGCACCGGCUAACUCUGUGCCAGCAGCCGCCGUAAUAC